GGCUGUGUGACCUACAAUGAAGAACACAACAACUUUGUACUUCAUUGUCCUAAUCUAUACAGGCAGACUAAACAAAACACCAGUGUGCACCCACCCCACCCCCGCCGUGUGGAUCCAGUGGAGAUGAUUCAUGGGAAGCGAUGAAUAGGGUCUCUGGCACAGUCCACCACUGGGCAUGUGGAAGUGCUCCUCCUACCCAUAUGCCCCGGGUGCCUGGGGCCUUUCUACUUCUGAGCCUUCUCUCACAGUUUCUUCCCCCACCCAAUGCAUGUUGCCCACUAGCCAGCUGCAGCCUGAGACUCAGCCAAAGCUGGAGCCCCAAGCAGGAAGCACCCAAGAGGCUGGCUCCCUAGCAAUGCCCAGCAUGCGGCCAGCGCAGAGGAUCAUGGGAACCCAUUGCCGGAUGUGGUCUUGGGGAGGGUCUCUCCUCACCUGCUAAGCAAAUAUCUCCAGCUCCCAUCUCCAUUUCCAAUAAUGCCACCCCCAGAGAGGAGCCAUCCGGUGACUGCAUCCAGCUAGAGGCAAGAAGAGAUGCAAUGGCUGAUGAGGGUUCUCGUACCCCAAGUCUCAGUCUCCCUACAUAGUCAGUCACCUGAUCUACACCCCAAGUUUGGAACGAUUGUAGUCAGUCACUGGAAGAGCCCUCGGAGUGCCAGGCACAGAGCAUCCCUGCCCAGAAUCUGUGAGAUAGUCCACGUAUGUUGGUGUAUAUG